ACAAACCCACAAACAACAACAGAUCACAUCCAAACCCUAAUCCUUCCAAAUUCAUAGAGCUCUAUACCACCCCUCCACCGAUCACGAUGUUGAAAAUACUCCACCACACAAAGAUCAAAACUUUGCAUGCACACAGAAUUCAAUCAACCAAAAUUGUGGAGAAAUCGAGAGAGGAAAGUGCAAUAAAGUCACUGGAAGAGAGAAGAUUC
rnacentral:lncRNA from 1 species